rnacentral:rRNA from 1 species
AUUGAACGCUGGCGGCAGGCUUAACACAUGCAAGUCGAGCGAGCGGCGGACGGGUGAGUAAUGUCUGGGAAACUGCCUGAUGGACGGGGCUAACUACUGGAAACGGUAGCUAAUACCGCAUACCAUCAGAUGUGCCCAUAUGGGGUUAGCUAGUAGGUGGGGUAAUGGCUCACCUAGGCGACGAUCCCUAGCUGGUCUGAGAGGAUGACCAGCAACACUGGAACUGAGAGACGGUCAAGACUCCUACGUGAGGCAGCAGUGGUGAAUAUUGCACAAUGGGCGCAAGCCUGAUGCAGCCACGCCGCGUGUGUGAAGAAGGCAUGCGGGUUGUAAAGCACUUUCAGCGAGGAGGCGUUACGCGCAGAAGAAGCACCGGCUAACUACGUGCCAGCAGCCGCGGUAAUAC